CCUACGGGUGGCAGCAGUGGGGAAUAUUGGGCAAUGGGCGCAAGCCUGACCCAGCAACGCCGCGUGAAGGAAGAAGGCUUUCGGGUUGUAAACUUCUUUUAAGAGGGAAGAGCAGAAGACGGUACCUCUUGAAUAAGCCACGGCUAACUACGUGCCAGCAGCCGCGGUAAUACGUAGGGGGCAAGCGUUAUCCGGAUUUACUGGGUGUAAAGGGAGCGUAGACGGCACUGCAAGUCCGGAGUGAAAGCCCAAGGCUUAACCAUGGGACUGCUCUGGAAACUGUGGAGCUUGAGUGCGGGAGGGGCAGGCGGAAUUCCUAGUGUAGCGGUGAAAUGCGUAGAUAUUAGGAGGAACACCGGCGGCGAAGGCGGCCUGCUGGACCGUAACUGACGUUGAGGCUCGAAAGCGUGGGGAGCAAACAGGAUUAGAUACCCGAGUAGUC
rnacentral:rRNA from 1 species